rnacentral:rRNA from 1 species
ACUCCUGCGGGAGGCAGCAGUGGGGAAUAUUGCACAAUGGGCGCAAGCCUGAUGCAGCCAUGCCGCGUGUAUGAAGAAGGCCUUCGGGUUGUAAAGUACUUUCAGCGGGGAGGAAGGCGAUAAGGUUAAUAACCUUGUCGAUUGACGUUACCCGCAGAAGAAGCACCGGCUAACUCCGUGCCAGCAGCCGCGGUAAUACGGAGGGUGCAAGCGUUAAUCGGAAUUACUGGGCGUAAAGCGCACGCAGGCGGUCUGUCAAGUCAGAUGUGAAAUCCCCGGGCUCAACGUGGGAGCUGCAUUCGAAACUGGCAGGCUAGAGUCUUGUAGAGGGGGGUAGAAUUCCAGGUGUAGCGGUGAAAUGCGUAGAGAUCUGGAGGAAUACCGGUGGCGAAGGCGGCCCCCUGGACAAAGACUGACGCUCAGGUGCGAAAGCGUGGGGAGCAAACAGGAUUAGAAACCCGGGUAGUCC